GUGGGGAAUAUUGGGCAAUGGGGGCAACCCUGACCCAGCGACGCCGCGUGAGGGAAGAAGGCCUUAGGGUCGUAAACCUCUGUUGUGUGGGAAGAAGGAAGUGACGGUACCACACGAGGAAGUCCCGGCUAACUACGUGCCAGCAGCCGCGGUAAUACGUAGGGGACGAGCGUUGUCCGGAAUUACUGGGCGUAAAGGGCGCGUAGGCGGUCAUUUAAGUCAGCUGUGAAAUGGUCCGGCUCAACCGGAUCAUGCGGUUGAAACUGGAUGACUGGAGUGCUGGAGAGGCAAGUGGAAUUCCCAGUGUAGCGGUGAAAUGCGUAGAUAUUGGGAAGAACACCGGUGGCGAAGGCGACUUGCUGGCCAGCAACUGACGCUGAGGCGCGAAAGCCAGGGGAGCAAACGGGAUUAGAAACCCGUGUAGUCC
rnacentral:rRNA from 1 species